GAGAAUUCAAACUCACUGAAUCAUUAAAAAAAUCAAUGAAUUUUUUGUGUGAUGGUUAUCUUCCUCUGCCUUUUGGGUGCUACUGCAGGUGCCUUUGAUGGUGCAAAAUGUUUCGUCGAGAAAAGUACAGCACUUCAGAGUCACACUACUAGCGAUCAAUGUAGCGAUUCUGUACUGCACAGGAGAGACGGCACGGAGGAGAUCGGCAAGCCGAUCAGGACGGAGAACACAAUGCGCUCUAAAAAAAAGUCAUGCAUAACUGCACUAAAAGAAAUCUGCGAAACAGUGAGGCCGUGAAAGGUGAACCAUGUUAUAGUGAGUGACCACUGUCAUUUUGAAGACUGUGGGAGGAAACUGGAGAACCUGGAGCACCCACACAAACUCCAUAGAAAGGCCCCAGCCACAGAAAGCUGCCUCAGAAAGCUCAUGGAAAAUGCUCAACUGCUAUCACUUUAACGUGGACCAGAGCAACACACCCUUGCCCAACCACUCGACCCAGGGGAACCUGCCAAUAGCCUUUCGGCAGAUCAAACUUACUGACAUCAGGGGCGAUUCUAGGAUCAGAGAUUUGGGGGUGCUGAGCACCCAGAGAGCUGACCAGCCAGGCAAGAAACUUUACUCAUCGGAGUUUGAGACUUCUUCCCUGUCUCUUUCAGUUCCUGCAUCCUUAAAUGUCUCCAGUUGUCCCGAGUUCCCUCUGACUGUCUCCUUGGUUUAUUUAAACCCCUGU